GACGAACGCUGGCGGCGUGCUUAACACAUGCAAGUCGAACGAGAAUCUACUGAAAGAGUUUUCGGACAAUGGAUGUAGAGGAAAGUGGCGGACGGGUGAGUAACGCGUGAGGAACCUGCCUUGAAGAGGGGGACAACAGUUGGAAACGACUGCUAAUACCGCAUGAAGCAUAGGGGUCGCAUGAUUCUUAUGCCAAAGAUUUAUCGCUUCAAGAUGGCCUCGCGUCUGAUUAGCUAGUUGGCGGGGUAACGGCCCACCAAGGCGACGAUCAGUAGCCGGACUGAGAGGUUGAACGGCCACAUUGGGACUGAGAUACGGCCCAGACCUCCUACGGGAGGCAGCAGGUGGGGAAUAUUGCACAAUGGAAGGAAACUCUGAUGCAGCGACGCCGCGUGAGCGAAGAAGUAUUCGGUAUGUAAAGCUCUGUCAGCG
rnacentral:rRNA from 1 species